GAGUAACGCGUAAGAACCUGUCCUUGGGAGGAAAACAACAACCGGAAACGAUUGCUAAUAUCCCGUAGGCUGAGGAGCAAAAGGAGAAAUCCGUCCAAGGAGGGGCUCGCGUAUUAGCUAGUUGGUGAGGCAAUAGCUUACCAACGCGAUGAUCAGUAGCUGGUCCGAGAGGAUGAUCAGAC
rnacentral:ncRNA from 1 species